rnacentral:lncRNA from 1 species
AAAUCCAUUAAAGAAAGAAACAUAUCUUUGUUGUGAUAAUCACAAUCGGAUAUCUUUGUGAGAUUGAUAAAUGCUAUCUUCUUUAAGUGUUUUGUUGUUCGGUAAUGACCCUUUGCGUCCGUCACAGAGAAGUUUCUAAUGUUCUUCCACUCACCCACAACACAUUUACUCCCCAAACUUAUCAAAUAGGCAUGUUUACAUGUUGCUUGAAUUUUGUCACCCUGCAAAACCUAGGUCAUGUCAUGUCAAAAACAAUAGGAUCAUCACGAUAUCCAUGAAUCUAAACUAAACGAAAAUGAUUAAAGUUUACCUUCUUGUCAUCG